rnacentral:rRNA from 1 species
CAAGUCGAGGGGCAGCGGGGGUAGCGAUACCCGCCGGCGACCGGCGCACGGGUGAGUAACGCGUAUGCAACUUGCCUAUCAGAGGGGGAUAACCCGGCGAAAGUCGGACUAAUACCGCAUGAAGCAGGGGCCCCGCAUGGGAAUAUUUGUUAAAGAUUCAUCGCUGAUAGAUAGGCAUGCGUUCCAUUAGGCAGUUGGCGGGGUAACGGCCCACCUAGUCUUCGAUGGAUAGGGGUUCUGAGAGGAAGGUCCCCCACAUUGGAACUGAGACACGGUCCAAACUCC